rnacentral:snRNA from 1 species
UUUUAAAAACGGCUAAAAAUCUU